rnacentral:lncRNA from 1 species
UCUAGGGUAGAGUUUAAGUCCAUUGUUUCUUUGUUGACUUUAAGUCCAUUGUUUCUUUGUUGACUUUCUGUCUAGAUUACCUAUCUAGUGCUGUUAAGGGUGGAGACCACCCCUCAUAUUGUCUUAUGCCCAAUUUCUGCCUUCAAAGAAAGAAAAAGUAAAAACUAAAAGGCAGAAAUGAAAUCCACAGGCAGACAGCCCGGCACCGCACCCUGGGCCUGCCAUGAAUGAAAAAUAUUUGACUUUAUAUUUAUGAUUCGUUACAUUAUUUGUAAUUCUCUUUUUCAUAUUUCCAUGUAACAGUGAAGAAUCCUUUUAGCCUGGCUCUCUAUUGAUACUGGGAGUGGGGCGCCAUUGUAAAUGUAC